GACGAACGCUGGCGGCGUGCUUAACACAUGCAAGUCGAACGGUGAUGCGCCUUCCUUUUUGGUGGGUGUGGAUGAGUGGCGAACGGGUGAGUAACACGUGAGUAACCUGCCCCCUUCUUCUGGAUAACCGCAUGAAAGUGUGGCUAAUACGGGAUAUUCUGGGUCUGUCGCAUGAUGGGUCUGGGUAAGAUAUUGUUUCGGUGGGGGCUGGGCUCGCGGCCUAUCAGGUUGUUGGUGGGGUGAUGGCCUACCAAGGCGGUGACGGGUAGCCGGCCUGAGAGGGUGGACGGUCACGCGGGGACGGAGACACGGACAAGACUCCUACGAGAGGCAGCAGUGAGGAAUAUUGCACGAUGGGGGGAAGCCUGAUGCAGCGACGCCGCGUGAGGGAUGGAGGCCUUCGGGUUGUGAACCUCUUUCGCCAGUGAAGCAGGCCUGCCUCGUUUGUGGGUGGGUUGACGGUAGCUGGAUAAGAAGCGCCGGCUAACUACGUG
rnacentral:rRNA from 1 species